GGGAUAUGGCUCAGUUGGUAGAGCGUCGCGUUCGCAACGCGAAGGUCACGAGUUCGACUCUCGUUAUCUCC
rnacentral:tRNA from 1 species